UGGCAAUCUAGCUGUGACAUGUCACCCCAUUGAUUAUCAGGGUUUGCUCAGCUAAUUUGGCUGGACAGGUGGUGUCACCUUCCUUUCUCAUCACCCUAUGUGAACUCCUCUGGAAACUGCACUUAGCAGAAAAGGGCAACCUUCUCUGAAGAGCGAAGGAGCAGUCUUUGGUCAAGGGUAUGUGAGUAGCUAUGCUCCCCUGCAAGAACCUCCAAACAAACUCUCAAGGUAGUACAUGUCCUAUACUAUGUUACGGUUUUAUCACUUCUACCCUCUUUUUAUUAAGAACUUUUAUUGUAAAUUCUUACUAUAAAUGAGU
ensembl:misc_RNA 7SK 7SK RNA